AUGCAGAAGAGUAUAAGAGACAAAAUUACCUGCUGGAAAAGAUUGCAGGAGGACUCAGUGCGACUCAAGAGAUUAAAUACACUAUACAUUCUUCCAUUCUUCUAUUUCUUUCACCUGAUUGGUUCACACAAAAAAUGUAAAAGGAAAGCCAAUGGCGGGGCGGAGAGUACCAACUUCACGGUACGAAUAGCAUCUUAUCAACCAAGUAAAAGUAGGGGCAGCGACUGUACUACUUGCUUGAUUGCAUCAAUCCCAAAUGCUCUAGUUAGAAAAAUGUUGUUUGCACAUUUUUAUGGUCCAACAUGA
rnacentral:rRNA from 1 species